GAUGAACGCUAGCUACAGGCUUAACACAUGCAAGUCGAGGGGAAACGGCAUUUAGUGCUUGCACCGAAUGGACGUCGACCGGCGCACGGGUGAGUAACGCGUAUCCAACCUACCCAUUACUGUGGGAUAACCUGCCGAAAGGCAGACUAAUACCGCAUAGUCUUCGAUGACGGCAUCAGAUUUGAAGUAAAGAUUUAUCGGUAAUGGAUGGGGAUGCGUCUGAUUAGCUUGUUGGCGGGGUAACGGCCCACCAAGGCGACGAUCAGUAGGGGUUCUGAGAGGAAGGUCCCCCACAUUGGAACUGAGACACGGUCCAAACUCCUACGGGAGGCAGCAGUGAGGAAUAUUGGUCAAUGGACGUAAGUCUGAACCAGCCAAGUAGCGUGCAGGAUGACGGCCCUAUGGGUUGUAAACUGCUUUUGUAUGGGGAUAAAGUCAAUCACGUGUGAUUGUUUGCAGGUACCAUACGAAUAAGGACCGGCUAAUUCCGUGCCAGCAGCCGCGGUAAUACGGAAGGUCCAGGCGUUAUCCGGAUUUAUUGGGUUUAAAGGGAGCGUAGGCCGGAGAUUAAGUGUGUUGUGAAAUGUAGACGCUCAACGUCUGACUUGCAGCGCAUACUGGUUUCCUUGAGUACGCACAACGUUGGCGGAAUUCGUCGUGUAGCGGUGAAAUGCUUAGAUAUGACGAAGAACUCCGAUUGCGAAGGCAGCUGACGGGAGCGCAACUGACGCUUAAGCUCGAAGGUGCGGGUAUCAAACAGG
rnacentral:rRNA from 1 species